rnacentral:rRNA from 1 species
GUAGGGGGCUAGCGUUGUCCGGAUUUAUUGGGCGUAAAGAGCUCGUAGGUGGUUCGGUAAGUCGGAUGUGAAAUCUCCAGGCUCAACCUGGAGGGGUCAUUCGAUACUGCCGUGACUAGAGUUCGGUAGAGGAGUGUGGAAUUCCUGGUGGAGCGGUGAAAUGCGCAGAGAUCAGGAGGAACACCCGUAGCGAAGGCGGCACUCUGGGCCGAUACUGACACUGAGGAGCGAAAGCGUGGGGAGCGAACAGGAUUAGAUACCCUGGUAGUCCACGCCGUAAACGUUGGGCACUAGGUGUGGGGUUCUAUCGACGGAUUCCGUGCCGUAGCUAACGCAUUAAGUGCCCCGCCUGGGGAGUACGGCCGCAAGGCUA